rnacentral:snRNA from 1 species
GAACCAACGUACUGAGUGGAUCAUCCGAUAAAAUUGGAACGAUACAGAGAAGAUUAGCAUGGCCCUUGCGCAAGGAUGACACGCACAAAUCGGAAGUGUACCUUUUUUUU